CCCGUAUUCACAAACGAUACUUACCUAUGCAAAGCAGCAACGCUAUGCGAAAUGAGACAUUUCUCAAUGCGUUCCAUAUGACAAGCCUUUCAAUUCAUAAACAAUACUUAAACGACCCUUGACUAUGCAAAAUCAGAGUGUAGAAUAGAGUUCUGUGAUUGGUUCGCUUAUGUUACGCACUUCACUUCGCUAACUGACAUGACAUUCCUGUCAUUCAAACGGUGCAACGGUUUUUAUGUGUCGUUAUUUUGUGGAUUUGUGAAUUAAAUAAAUAUGGAUAAAACUACAACUAUCAGGCUCACACAUCAACUGAAAAGCUGCUGGAAUAAUUUAAAGACCCAAAGAAUGAAAGAACUUUCUCAGGAAUCAAUCAAACGUUCUCAACACCCACUAGUAUCAAGAAAUUAAGAUUAGUAGUAGCAAGAAUGAAGAUUAAGACAGAAACAAGAAUCAAACGCACCACAUUGAAUAAUAUACAACAAGACCAGGCUUUGCACGAGUUGGGGCUACAAAGAGAAAAAAUAUUGAAAGAAAGAGAAAAUAAUUUGU